AUUGAACGCUGGCGGCAUGCCUUACACAUGCAAGUCGAACGGCAGCGCGGGAGCAAUCCUGGCGGCGAGUGGCGAACGGGUGAGUAAUACAUCGGAACGUGCCCAAUCGUGGGGGAUAACGCAGCGAAAGCUGUGCUAAUACCGCAUACGAUCUACGGAUGAAAGCAUGGGAUCGCAAGACCUUGCGCGCAUGGAGCGGCCGAUGGCCGAUUAGGUAGUUGGUGAGGUAAAGGCUCACCAAGCCUUCGAUCUGUAGCUGGUCUGAGAGGACGACCAGCCACACUGGAACUGAGACACGGCCCAGACUCCUACGGGAGGCAGCAGUGGGGAAUUUUGGACAAUGGGCGAAAGCCUGAUCCAGCCAUGCCGCGUGCAGGAUGAAGGCCUUCGGGUUGUAAACUGCUUUUGUACGGAACGAAACGGUCUUUUCUAAUAAAGAAGGCUAAUGACGGUACCGUAAGAAUAAGCACCGGCUAACUACGUG
rnacentral:rRNA from 1 species